rnacentral:rRNA from 1 species
UACAGGGGGUGCAAACGUUGCUCGGAAUCAUUGGGCGUAAAGCGCACGUAGGCGGUCUGUUAUGUCGGAUGUGAAAGCCCUUGGCUUAACUGAGGGAGUGCAUCCGAAACUGGCAGGCUAGAGUACUAAAGAGGGUCGCGGAAUUCCCGGUGUAGAGGUGAAAUUCGUAGAUAUCGGGAGGAACACCGGUGGCGAAGGCGGCGACCUGGGUAGAUACUGACGCUGAGGUGCGAAAGCGUGGGGAGCAAACAGG